rnacentral:tRNA from 1 species
UUUAUAAUAGUAUAGCCCAUACAUUAGAUUUAGGAUCUAGAGACGAGAUAAUAUCUCUUAUAAAA